CAAAGGGAAAGGAGAUAGCUAGAGAUUAGAAGAGGAAAAGAAAGGAGGAAUUCAAGAAAGGUUGUAGAUAAAAUAGGGCAACAGAAGUUAUCAGAGAUCUACAUCAGAUAUCAAGGCCAUCAUCAUAGCUGGUUCUUUUGAGUCUCUGAGUCAUAGUACAGUUUUAUUUUGGCAUGUACAUAUUAAAUAGAGUGAGUUGUGAAGGUUAUGUAA